AGAUAGCUAGGCAACCGCGUGCCGCGUAAGCGGCCCGAGGAACGUCCGGGCUCCAUAGAGCAGGGUAGUGGGUAACACCCACCCGGGGUAACCCGCGGGAAAGUGCCACAGAAAACAGACCGCCCACCUAGGUGGGUAAGGGUGAAAAGGUGGUGUAAGAGACCACCAGUGCCCUAGGUGACUAGGGCAGCUAGGUAAACCCCACCCGGAGCAAGGCCAGACAGGACGCGUUGAAGCUGCUCGCUGAGCGUUCGGGUAGGCUGCUUGAGCCCCUGGGUAACCAUGGGCCUAGAUGGAUGGUUGCCAGCUUGGAUCGAGUAAUCGCCCAAGCCACAAAACCCGGCGUAUCGGCUAUCUCAU
rnacentral:RNase_P_RNA from 1 species